UACAGAGGUCUCAAGCGUUGUUCGGAUUCAUUGGGCGUAAAGGGUGCGUAGGUGGCGCGCUAAGUCAGGUGUGAAAUUUCGGAGCUUAACUCCGAAACUGCAUUCGAUACUGGCGUGCUUGAGGACUGGAGAGGAGACUGGAAUUUACGGUGUAGCAGUGAAAUGCGUAGAUAUCGUAAGGAAGACCAGUGGCGAAGGCGGGUCUCUGGACAGUUCCUGACACUGAGACACGAAGGCCAGGGGAGCAAACGGG
rnacentral:rRNA from 1 species